GAUGAACGCUGGCGGCGUGCCUAAUACAUGCAAGUCGAGCGAACGGACGAGAAGCUUGCUUCUCUGAUGUUAGCGGCGGACGGGUGAGUAACACGUGGAUAACCUACCUAUAAGACUGGGAUAACUUCGGGAAACCGGAGCUAAUACCGGAUAAUAUUUUGAACCGCAUGGUUCAAAAGUGAAAGACGGUCUUGCUGUCACUUAUAGAUGGAUCCGCGCUGCAUUAGCUAGUUGGUAAGGUAACGGCUUACCAAGGCAACGAUGCAUAGCCGACCUGAGAGGGUGAUCGGCCACACUGGAACUGAGACACGGUCCAGACUCCUACGGGAGGCAGCAGUAGGGAAUCUUCCGCAAUGGGCGAAAGCCUGACGGAGCAACGCCGCGCGAGUGAUGAAGGUCUUCGGAUCGUAAAACUCUGUUAUUAGGGAAGAACAUAUGUGUAAGUAACUGUGCACAUCUUGACGGUACCUAAUCAGAAAGCCACGGCUAACUACGUGCCAGCAGCCGCGGUAAUACGUAGGUGGCAAGCGUUAUCCGGAAUUAUUGGGCGUAAAGCGCGCGUAGGCGGUUUUUUAAGUCUGAUGUGAAAGCCCACGGCUCAACCGUGGAGGGUCAUUGGAAACUGGAAAACUUGAGUGCAGAAGAGGAAAGUGGAAUUCCAUGUGUAGCGGUGAAAUGCGCAGAGAUAUGGAGGAACACCAGUGGCGAAGGCGACUUUCUGGUCUGUAACUGACGCUGAUGUGCGAAAGCGUGGGGAUCAAACAGGAUUAGAUACCCUGGUAGUCCACGCCGUAAACGAUGGGUGCUAAGUGUUAGGGGGUUUCCGCCCCUUAGUGCUGCAGCUAACGCAUUAAGCACUCCGCCUGGGGAGUACGACCGCAAGGUUGAAACUCAAAGGAAUUGACGGGGACCCGCACAAGCGGUGGAGCAUGUGGUUUAAUUCGAAGCAACGCGAAGAACCUUACCAAAUCUUGACAUCCUUUGACAACUCUAGAGAUAGAGCCUUCCCCUUCGGGGGACAAAGUGACAGGUGGUGCAUGGUUGUCGUCAGCUCGUGUCGUGAGAUGUUGGGUUAAGUCCCGCAACGAGCGCAACCCUUAAGCUUAGUUGCCAUCAUUAAGUUGGGCACUCUAAGUUGACUGCCGGUGACAAACCGGAGGAAGGUGGGGAUGACGUCAAAUCAUCAUGCCCCUUAUGAUUUGGGCUACACACGUGCUACAAUGGACAAUACAAAGGGCAGCGAAACCGCGAGGUCAAGCAAAUCCCAUAAAGUUGUUCUCAGUUCGGAUUGUAGUCUGCAACUCGACUACAUGAAGCUGGAAUCGCUAGUAAUCGUAGAUCAGCAUGCUACGGUGAAUACGUUCCCGGGUCU
rnacentral:rRNA from 1 species